ensembl:lncRNA
CACCUGUUUAGCUGGAGGUUGGCCCGGUGCCACAGCGGUCAUGUCAGUGGGGGGAUCCGGGGUUUCUCUGUGAAGUUCAUAUUCCCGUGGCAGCGUGCUCGGUGCUUGCUCAGAUUUGAAGUUUAAGCGUGAGUGUACAGUGGACACUAAUGUUUUUGUCUUUUUACGGAAUCAAACUCAAAGUAAUGUCAGUACUUCCAAACUUUGAACGCUCCAUGGUUGAACUCUCUCCUGCACUCCACAUUGUUGAUCUGCACACGUCUGUUGCUGCCGGGGGGCUGGAGCCUGUCCCAGCUGUCUUAGGGCAAGAGGCAGGGUACACAGGUCUCCAGUCCAUCUCUGGUAACCAGUUUAGACCUUUACUAAUUACUGCUGUUCUGUCACUAGCAUCUCAGAGAUAUGGACAUGGACAAGGCCUUGGUGCUUUCAGUAGGUGUCAACCAGUAGCUGUCAUCCAAGCUUUUAGAAACAAAUUGUUACAAAGCAUCUGGAGGAAACGUUGCACCAUCACUGUCUAAAGACUUUUCAGGUCAUUAGCCAAUGAGCACACCCUUCUUUCUGCCUCUAACAAGGACCAUAAUGUACUAAAUUAAGUUUUAUUCAGGAUGACCUGAAGCUAAACAGUGAGCUCAUAAAUCCAUCUGGAAAAUGUUUACAGAGGUCAUAACAUAAGGGAACUGUAUCCUUUUUUUUUUUUUUUUUUUUUUUGCCUGUCCCGUUUGGCUCUUUUGCCAUCAGAAGUAUUGUCUAAAGGCAAAGAAAGAUACCCAACGGAUUUACUUUACCAAAUUGACCAUCCCAGCCUUGCCGUAAUGGUCCAUUUGAUUCACCUUUUAUUGUUUAUUUUAUUUUCACUUGCUGAAUACGGGACAGACUUGACUGGAGGAAAGAAGGGGAGAAAGAAAGAGGGAAAGAGAAACACCUGAGAAGAGGGACGGGGGAGAAGGGCAAAAAACAAAAACCAACAGAAUGGGCAGCAAAAAAAAAAAAAAAGAAAAAAAAAUGCAUAUAUCGAUCACCUGGAUCACCUGUUGAGAAAGAAAAAAGAAAACAAGCAGAAGAGAACAAGAGUAAUAGAAUAAACAACAUCACAAUGAUACAUGGGAAUAUGACAGUAAAUACUAAAUAUUAACCCUUUAAGACCUACCAUAGAACCAAGUCCGCCAGAGCUUAUAUUAUAUUUUUACAUGCUGUGUAGCCAUUUUUGGGAGCAUUUCAAGUUGCUAUACAUCAAUACAACCAUUAUAGCCCAAACUUUAAUAAUAUGUCUGCAUUAGGUGCAUAGUAAUUACAUAAAUUGCAAAAAAGUGCAAUAAACUACAAAAAAAUUGAAAAUCGUUUUUGUUUUUUUAACAUAUAUUUCUAGUUAGAGAAAUUUAAGAGGCUCAUCCCUCAAAACUGUAAAUACAAAAAAGUUGCACAAAC